CCUACGGGAGGCAGCAGUAAGGAAUAUUGGUCAAUGGACGCAAGUCUGAACCAGCCAUGCCGCGUGAAGGAUUAAGGUCCUCUGGAUUGUAAACUUCUUUUAUCUGGGACGAAAAAAGGCGAUUCUUCGUCACUUGACGGUACCAGAUGAAUAAGCACCGGCUAACUCCGUGCCAGCAGCCGCGGUAAUACGGAGGGUGCAAGCGUUAUCCGGAUUCACUGGGUUUAAAGGGUGCGCAGGCGGGCAGGUAAGUCAGUGGUGAAAUCCUAGAGCUUAACUCUAGAACUGCCAUUGAUACUAUCUGUCUUGAAUAUUGUGGAGGUAAGCGGAAUAUGUCAUGUAGCGGUGAAAUGCUUAGAUAUGACAUAGAACACCUAUUGCGAAGGCAGCUUACUACGCAUAUAUUGACGCUGAGGCACGAAAGCGUGGGGAUCAAACAGGAUUAGAUACCCUGGUAGUCACGCCCUAAACGAUGAUUACUCGACAUUUGUGAUACACUAUAAGUGUCUGAGCGAAAGCAUUAAGUAAUCCACCUGGAAGUACGACCCGCAAGGUUGAAACUCAAAGAGUAGUACGGACGGAGAGAGAGCGACGACGGACGACGACGGAGGGAGGAG
rnacentral:rRNA from 1 species